UUCACUCUCCACACAAUUGUUCGCUCCUCCCCAUCCUGAACUCUUUCCCUCCACCGGCACGCGCUUGCCGCUGCCGCCGCCCCACCUCCACCUCCGAUUCUCCCUCAGCCCAUCCCGCCCUCUCCUCUCCCUACACCCGCCGCUUCUCCUCCGUGACGUGUGGCCCAGCCACCGCUCGCCACCUCUCCCUCCGCUGCGGCCGCCGGGGCCACGCUCCCGUGCGCACCGCGCAAUGCAAGUCCGCCGGGCCGGAGGGGUUCAAGGAGGAGCUGUGCAGGCCACUGGAGCUUCUCCUCGGGGAUCUCUGGUGGUGGGCGAAGGACCACCCGGAUCUCCCCGCGCUGGUGGAGGUGGUAAUGGACCUCGGCCACACCCGCUCGCCCUCUUCCCUUCAGGCGACUUCCUCCUCUCCCACCACCUCCCUCAUAAUCCCUUGGCACCGACACGAUCGCAUAUUGGGUCGUUGUUCUCUGCAAAUAUGAGCAGUUCUCGGUGCACCCAAGCGGCGCUGCCGACCGCAGCCUUCAACGCCUCCAGUGGACGUUGCCGCGCUCAGCUCAGGGGAGAGCGGUCGCAUCCCACCGCCACAUCGGCUCCGGGCGAAAGCCACGCCGCCGGAUCCCCCCACGCACCACCUCCUGCAGGUCUUCGUCCGUUAGGUGCCUUCAUGCUUCCGCUGGUCCACUUGUUGCACGGACGCAUCGGCUCAGGUUAGCACCUGCGUUGUGUCAGGCUUGAAUAAGGGUCUGCAAGAUCCUCGGGGUGGAGGUUUUCGUUUCGAAUUGCAAAGCGCGGUCCGGUAAGGAUUCUGAUGUCUAUCAUCUUCAAUCUAUUGGAGAUAACACUUAUUAUGCCCAAAAUUUUACUGUAAAACUGAUGAUUAACUCCAGCUGGUUAUACCAGCAAACUAACGCCAUACAAACGCCAGCUCCCUUUAUUGCAGUCUGCACCUCUCCAAGAAUGAAAUUAAUUUGUGUGUUCUUAAAUCCUUCUGUAAAUUAUUUGCAUAAAACAUUGUAAUUUACCAUUUGGAUGAAAAAAGGGGACACAAAUAGUGAAAUGUCCCUUUUAGACGAGCCCAUUAUUAGCCCUACAACUUGUGUACCUUGAGUGAAUCAGGAUUCACGAGGUUUACCAUUAGAGUUUUUAUCUAUAUAGCAAAGAGCUCUAUAUCCCACAUACAUUGUGCAUUCACACCACUGCAUCCCGGAUCUACUUAUUCUUCUUUUCUCCUACAAUCCUAUUUAGAGCAUUUACCUUUUAGGUUUAAUACAAGGCAUUUGUGUGGUCCAGGAUUGUAUCACAGGAGAACUAUACAUAGUAGUCUGUCAAGAAAAUCUCAUAGUUUUUGUUUUGUAAGAUUUUGUGAGCCAUUUUAGCUAUUUAGAGCUAUCACAUCUGUCAAUUAAUUUUGUUCUGCUCGGAUGUGAAACUGCACAUAUUUAAAAAUGUAUCCAACAUGAGACACUGGAUAUUGAGACCACCAUGUGUUGUUACUUAUUCUUUAUGAACAUGUACUAAAUUUCUAUUUUUUUACAGAUAUGGGUUGCAUAUGUUCAGUGGAAGGGAUAUGUGUGCCAAUUUGCAUAUUUUUAAAUUUCUUUUAUCUUCAACUUUGGAACAUACAUGGUCACUCGAAUAGAUAUUAAGGAAGAUAUAGCAGAGAAGGAGCUGGCAUCUUCGUGCCCUUCCAACUGGAGGAAAUGGAAGCGAGAUUGUUGUAUUUUCCCCUUGUAAACCAGCGAUAUGGGAGGACACCAUUAUUACAAAUUUGAAGUCUGACUGCGUGUUAUUGGCAAGAACCUACGUGGAUGAUAUCGACAAGCUCGAUGGCCACAAUGAACCAGAUGUUGUCAACUACAUGGAGGACAUCUAUAAGUACUACAAGGCAGCACUGGUAACUACAAUCUUCCUCUUCAGCAUGUCUGUUGAAGCGACACACAACUGUACUUUCAGUCUUAAGAUGAAAUACGAACACAUAGCCAACAUCACUUAAUUACUGUGCAAUGGAACUUAUGCUGACACAAGACAAUAUUUCUGUGAUACCUCACUAAUCUAAACUAAAGACUAACUAAUUCAGAAAUGAAGUAGACAUGUUUCAAGUCCUUUUCAAGUCAAAGUGUUUAGUUUAGGUUGAUGUACAGUGAACAAGAGUAGCAUUAAGUAGCACACUUUUGCUUUCUAAAACCAGGGAUACACAUGCUCAGAUUCUCAUGCAACCAUCCAGUACCAUUUAUAUGUUCUUGGCUCUUCCUGUAGACUUCAAUACUUCGCAGUGGAUGUGUUUAGUAUCUUGGUUUCUUUUUCUCCUUUUCGCUGAAUCUACCCAAUUAUCCUAUGACUAGAAUUGUUUUUAGAACUUAAUCUCCUAAUUUUUUUCCAUGUGUUGCAAUAUAUCCAAGGUUUUCUCAUGAAACCAUUUGAUUUGUUUCUUGCGCCUUCCAUUUUUGUGUUUUCCUUAACCAUCAGUUCAUUUGAUUCUGUAUGACUGAUCUCAAUUGCCUGAUAAACUUUUGAAUUUCUGGAGUUAUCAAGGGAAUGUUAUUUUUCUGUAUAAUGACUUUCUUUUACAAUUGAUUUUGUAAACACAUAUUUCUUACCGAAAGAUAUUCUUCAUAUGCCCACUAACUGAAACGAGCUUAGUCGCUUUCGACAUUUUUUAUUCCAUGAAGAAUACAUAGUGUAUUUCUUUCUUUCCUGCUGUCUCAGAGGAAGAAGAAAUCUCUGAAUUACGUAUGUGUUUGAGCUAUGAGGGACGCCUGUUAUGUCAUUUAUUCUCUUACAAUACAUCUUAGCAGCUUAGCUUCUUGAAGUUAUAUUUGUAAAUAGUUUCAUUUCGUGUAGGACAUUCAAGAGUGAGUUGUUUUCUGUGGCCAGAAAAAGAAACAAUUCCAGUGAGAUACUUGUAUAAUUCAUUUGAUGGCUCUUCUUUUCCUCAGGCUAUUCUUUUCCCCAGGUUCUUAUUGAUCUCUUCUUUGCAUGAGCUUCUGAACACACAUCUAAUGCUUCUAAGAAGCAAAUUCCAUACUCUAGCAGUGACUUGCUUUCCGGUGUUUUGGUGGGAGAAAAUUUUCAGAAGCCAAGUUGUGCUGGACAUAGAUAUACUACGCCAAGGAGCUAAAAAAGGCUCUGGUUUUAUGAGUGCUCAGGCUCUGGUCUGACUUGUACAGCAAAGUUCAAGACUGGUCGCAUGAGCUGAGCCAGAGCAAGAAACAAAGCAGUUCUUCUGUGGACCGAGGGAGCAUUUGACAUGUAUCAUGUAUGUCAACACACACGUUUAGAUGGAAUGUACUUAUGUUCUAGGGCAACAUUAUUUGUGCCUUAUCUGAUAUCAAAGAAAUCAUUGGCAUGUUUGUACGCUUCAUUUAUUAUGUUUAAGCCAUAUUUACUGAACUUUUCUAGAGUCAUUCCCAUAGCACUGACAAUGAAUUCUAGAAGUUAUGGACUUAAUGUUAUUCAUAA